ACCUGGCUGGCUCAGUAGUAGAGCACGUGACUCUUGAUCUCAGAGUUGUGAGUUUGAGCCCUACGCUGGGUG
rnacentral:tRNA from 1 species